rnacentral:rRNA from 1 species
GAGAUAACUCCUACGGGAGGCAGCAGUGGGGAAUAUUGGACAAUGGGCGAAAGCCUGAUCCAGCAAUGCCGCGUGAGUGAUGAAGGCCUUAGGGUUGUAAAGCUCUUUUACCCGGGAUGAUAAUGACAGUACCGGGAGAAUAAGCUCCGGCUAACUCCGUGCCAGCAGCCGCGGUAAUACGGAGGGAGCUAGCGUUAUUCGGAAUUACUGGGCGUAAAGCGCACGUAGGCGGCUUUGUAAGUAAGAGGUGAAAGCCCAGAGCUCAACUCUGGAAUUGCCUUUUAGACUGCAUCGCUUGAAUCAUGGAGAGGUCAGUGGAAUUCCGAGUGUAGAGGUGAAAUUCGUAGAUAUUCGGAAGAACACCAGUGGCGAAGGCGGCUGACUGGACAUGUAUUGACGCUGAGGUGCGAAAGCGUGGGGAGCAAACAGGAUUAGAAACCCGAGUAGUCCUCCACU